rnacentral:lncRNA from 1 species
GACCUCUGCACUGUCUGGGGCUCUGUGCCCUCUCAUUGGCCAGUGGUGACUGACUGAAGAGCAGAGGCCUCGCUGUGGGCGGGACCAGGCCGCUUUGGCAGUCUGGUUCCUGUUGUACUGAGGAUUUGAGGAGGUGUUGUCCAUGUACUCAGUGCUGGGACAGGGUAUCAUUGCCUGCCAGUCCACCCCCUAGGAUGGAGCGAGGAAUAAAAUCAGAAACAUAAUCAGCAUUGAUGUGUGAUUGAUAGCUG